UUAUGUAUUGUUGUAUAUCUAUGCCCCACCCCAUCCUCCUGGUAUUUAGAAAUACCACACCAGCUGAACUUAAAAAAAAAAAAAAAAGAUUUUAUUUAUUUAUUUAUUUAUUCAUGAAAGACACAGAGAGAGGCAGAGAUACAGGCAGAGGGAGAAGCAGGCUCCCUGCGGGGAGCCUGAUGAGGGACUCGAUCCCAGGGUGUCCUCCACCCACAGCAACAGCUGUACUUUCACUUUAGCAUCAAACUGGUCAGUUUUCUUCCAGCAUUUAGAUUGCAACGUGUCCUUAAGCCUGGGGAGGAGGCAGCUGUGGGUAGGAUAAAAAGUAGACUUGCAAAAUGAACUGUCAGCCUCUGGAGGUUGGGGCAGCCGUGGCGGAGGGGGUGGGUGGGUGCUAGGUCCAUUCAUUCCUCAGCCAUUCAUUCAUUCAACAUUUGUCACAGGUCCAGCAUACCCUGGGCUCAAUGCCAGGCUCUGGGGACCCAGAGAGAAACCGGCCAGACAGGGACAGAGGCUCUGUUGGACACGGGGGGUAGGGGGGGAGGUUGGAGGGGGGGUAAGGAUGAGCACAUGCAAACUGGUUCACUGAGCCCACAUUUCUUUGUUUCUUGGCAGGAGAAAGAAGUGCUCGUAGAGGAACAGCAGGUUCUCUCCACUUCGAGAUGGGCAAGACACCCAAGCGAAGUUCUGCAGAAAGCAGAAACCCAGAGGCAGCUCAUUGACCAGGAAGACCUGACUCAUCUGAUGUUAAUUAGAUGGCAAGAGAUUUAUGAAAACUUCAGCCUUUCCACUCUCUGCCCACACCUCUGGCCCUGAGAAAGUCAUCUGAAGCGCCCCGAUUCUGUGGGAUUCUGGGCCGAGGGCUGAACACAGCCUCGCAGACCGUCAUGGACCGUCUGCAGCCCACACAUCUGCAAACCAGCUCUGCCCGGAGGGGCUCACGCUCUGCUUCUUCGGUGCCCUGUCACAGUCCAGGGAGAGGUGGCCCCAGCCGCGUCACUCUACUCCCUUUGUAGAAAUGCAGAGAAGCACUAUGGUACUGCCUCCAAGGUCCCCUCUGAAAUGAACUUCGAAAGGAUUCUGGUUUGCAUGUCAGUACCAAAUGUCCUUGGAGGAGAACCAAGAUUAACUUGCCUUAUCUUGAAGUCAACCUGACAAUCAACUGGGUCACAGCGAAGCUCCACUGCAGGCAGAGAAAUCCAAAUCAUCCCUAAGCACCUGAGCUCCCCACCAAGUCCUUCUCAGGCAGAGGCCACAGACUGACCUCCUAGUGACCCAGCCCUGCAGCAGAUGGGGCGCUCAGCACUGUCGGGGUCUGUGUGAUCCGACCAGCAUGGCUUGGGGCUUUCUUCCCUACACCCGGACUGAGACCCCUGCACACUAGGUUCCCCUUGGGAAAGAGAGAGGUGGAAGAGGGUUCAGGAGAGCUUGGGGUAUCCCAAAUCCUUUGGAACCUCUGAAAGGCUAAUAGGAAGGAGUGAAGCCUGACCAAGGCACUGGAUGCAGUUAGGUUGGUAAGGCCUUAGGAAUAAACAGACAGAUCAAAGGGACA
rnacentral:lncRNA from 12 species